rnacentral:rRNA from 1 species
UAAGGAAUAUUGGUCAAUGGACGCAAGUCUGAACCAGCCAUGCCGCGUGCAGGAUGAAGGCCCUCUGGGUUGUAAACUGCUUUUUUCUGGGGCGAAAGUCAGUUAUUCAUAAUUGUUUGACAGUACCAGAAGAAUAAGCACCGGCUAACUCCGUGCCAGCAGCCGCGGUAAUACGGAGGGUGCAAGCGUUAUCCGGAUUCACUGGGUUUAAAGGGUGCGUAGGCGGGCCGAUAAGUCAGUGGUGAAAUCCCCGAGCUUAACUUGGGAACUGCCAUUGAUACUGUUGGUCUUGAAUACUGUUGAGGUUAGCGGAAUAUGUCAUGUAGCGGUGAAAUGCUUAGAUAUGACAUAGAACACCGAUUGCGAAGGCAGCUGGCUAAACAGAGAUUGACGCUGAGGC